ACAGUCACUGACAUUAGACUACCCCCGUAGUCCAGGGUGUAAACGCUGCAGACUUGGUGUUGGGAACCCUUCGGGGGUGCUCAGUGCCGGAGAGAAGUUGUUAAGUCUGCUACGUUGGGAGUACGUCCGCAAGGAUAGAAACUUAAAGGAAUUGGCGGGGGAGCACCGCAACGGGAGGAGCGUGCGGUUUAAUUGGAUUCAACGCCGAAAACUCACCAGCAGCGACUGUUACAUGAAAGUCAGGUUGAUGACCUUACUAGAUUUUCAG
rnacentral:rRNA from 1 species